rnacentral:rRNA from 1 species
AACGAACGCUGGCGACAUGCCUAACACAUGCAAGUCGAACGAGACCUUCGGGUCUAGUGGCGCACGGGUGCGUAACGCGUGGGAACUUGCCCUUAGGUUCGGAAUAACUCCCCGAAAGGGGUGCUAAUACCGGAUAAUGUCUUCGGACCAAAGAUUUAUCGCCUUUGGAUGGGCCCGCGUUGGAUUAGCUAGUUGGUAGGGUAAAAGCCUACCAAGGCGACGAUCCAUAGCUGGUCUGAGAGGAUGAUCAGCCACACUGGGACUGAGACACGGCCCAGACUCCUACGGGAGGCAGCAGUGGGGAAUAUUGGACAAUGGGCGAAAGCCUGAUCCAGCAAUGCCGCGUGAGUGAUGAAGGCCUUAGGGUUGUAAAGCUCUUUUACCCGGGAUGAUAAUGACAGUACCGGGAGAAUAAGCUCCGGCUAACUCCGUG